GCGAGGAUUUGGCGCCACUCCCGGGCCGACCUCCAUCCCAGGCAGACACACGGCAGGACGCUCCUCGUUAUGGCGCCAAAUAUUCAUCACUGCAAUGUUCUCCCCGGUUAUUAUGGAGCCAGCAGGACUUAAUAAAGGUGUCAAGUGCCCAUGCUGUGGUUGUGGCACUGAAACACUACAACACCUUCUAUUAGACUGUCCUGAAUAUGAUGACCUCAAAGUUGAAUUUAACUUAAUGCAAGAAAUUUAAAACAGGAAUAGAGAUGACAAGCUUGGUAGUAUACUAGCAUUUGACAGAUUGAAGAAAUAGAAACCAGAGAAGAAUUUGUGAAAAGACUGUGGAAUACCAGAAAAAAAUCAAGAACAUAGAAGUGAAAUCCAGGAGAAGAUGAAAAAAAAAAAAAAAACGAAUAUGACACACACGCCUUAAUGCCCACCAACACAGACUGAAUGCUGCAGGACCCACACUGCCCAUGGUGCCCCAUGCAUCCCAACAUGCCAGAACACUCCCUGCUCCAUUGCCCAAAAUGCCACUCCCUCUGCACCAACCUCAUAGUAUCCCUAACCAGGCUCCACAUCCACAGGCCAAGAAGAAAAAAGGAACAAGAAGAAAAAGAAAUUUAACCAGCCCCAAAAAACACUCCAGAAGAAGAAGAAGAAGAAACAGAAACAUCUACUCAACAAGAACUUCACAUGGAAGCCGUCACAAAGGCCAGCCCCCUAAAACGCUCCAGAAGAAGAAGAAAAAGAAACGUCUACUCAACAAGAACUAAAUAGUGGAAGCCGUUACAAAAGCCAGCCCCCUAAAACACUCCAGAAGAAGAAAAAGAAGCGUCUACUCAAUAAGAACUUCAUAGUGGGAGCCAUUACAAAGGCCGGCCUCCUAAAACACUCCAGAAGAAGAAGAAAAAGAGACAUCCACUCAACAAGAACUUCACAGUGGCAGCCGUUACAAAAACUAACCCCCUAAAACGCUCCAGAAGAAGAAGAAGAAAAAGAAGCAUCCACUCAACAUGAACUUCACAGUGGGAGCCAUCACAAAAGCCAGCCCCUUAAACCAUUCCAGAAAAAGAAGAAAAAGAAACAUCCGCUCAACAAGGACUUCACAGUGGGAGCUGUCACAAAGGCCAGCCCCCUAAAACACUCCAGAAGAAGAAGAAAAAGAAAGGUCUACUCAACAAGAACUAAAUAGUGGAAGCCGUUAUAAAAGCCAGCCCCCUAAAACACUCCAGAAGAAGAAGAAAAAGAAACGUCUACUUAACAAGAACUUCAUAGUGGGAGCCGUUACAAAGGCCGGGCCCCUAAAACACUCAGAAGAAGAAGAAAAAGAAGCAUCCACUCAACAUGAACUUCAAAGUGGGAGCCAUCACAAAAGCCAGCCCCUUAAACCAUUCCAGAAAAAGAAGAAAAAGAAACAUCCACUCAACAAGGACUUCACAGUGGGAGCCGUCACAAAGGCCAGCCCCCUAAAACACUCCAGAAGAAGAAGAAAAAGAAAGGUCUACUCAACAAGAACUAAAUAGUGGAAGCCGUUAUAAAAGCCAGCCCCCUAAAACACUCCAGAAGAAGAAGAAAAAGAAAGGUCUACUCAACAAGAACUAAAUAGUGGGAACCGUUACAAAGGCCGGCCCCCUAAAACACUCAGAAGAAGAAGAAAAAGAAGCAUCCACUCAACAUGAACUUCACAGUGGGAGCCAUCACAAAAGCCAGCCCCUUAAACCAUUCCAGAAAAAGAAGAAAAAGAAACAUCCACUCAACAAGGACUUCACAGUGGGAGCCGUCACAAAGGCCAGCCCCCUAAAACACUCCAGAAGAAGAAGAAAAAGAAAGGUCUACUCAACAAGAACUAAAUAGUGGGAACCGUUACAAAAGCCAGCCCCCUAAAACACUCCAGAAGAAGAAGAAAAAGAAGCAUCUCAACUAGGACUUCACAAUGGGAGCCGUCACAAAAGCCAGCCCCCUAAGACAUUGAAGAACAGGCUUAUCCAACGCCUGCUACAGGAGUGGACUGGACUGGCGCCUGACAAGUGAACUGAGAUGGAGUAACGACGUCAGGGUGGCUCCUUAAACAGGUGGUGUGGGAGUGCUACACUCCACAGCCACAGAGGCGCCACCCUGCCAAGACCACAGCAAGAGGAGGAAGAGCUCUGCAGUACUAAGUUAAGUACCUCGUCAUGACAUUCCGAGUGUUUUUCCUCAUUUUUACCUUCUAUUCAAAACUUUAUUUUCUAAUGAACCUGAUCUUUUUCUCAGCUUGCCUCCUCCUACUCCUUCAGCUUCCUUUUCCUCCUUGUGUGGCUGUGUCCGUCCCGACAUCCAGCGAGACCAUCCCGACGUCGUAACACCCGUUUGGGAGUGGGGGGACUCAUGAAGGCGGCGGCGGCAGCCCUAAGGUGGGGAGGGUUGCGCCGACACCUCCACUCCGUUUCGGCGGAAUGUGGCUGGCUAGGGUGGCCUGAACCACUGUCUGGGUUGUUUGUCGUUCAGUCGGAUUGAGGAUCUGCCUCCCUUGAGGUGCACAUGUCAUAGUGGUGGCAGAAGAGAGUGUGAAAGGUGUGUGAGUGAAGCUGAUGUCAUCCAGACGUCGUAACACCGUUGGGUGGGGCGGGGCUCUCAUGUCAAGUCUCCCCGCGGUGCACAUGUCACAGAGGUGCAAACAGCAUGGCCUUCUUUCCUAUCUUUUCCCCCUCCUCCUCCACCUCCCUCCCCCACACACCUCCUGCUGUUAUAUCGUCACCUUCGUAAAGAAACUGUCUAAGUCAUUAUUUUCUACUUUUAAGGAAAUCAGAAAAGAAUUCAUUGUCUCAUUUGGCUUCACACUCAAACUCUGAAUAAUGAAGGGAACCAUACAAAAAAUGGGCGUCACAUGUUAAAAAAAAUUAAUGUAAACAAAAACCUGGAAAUCGCUGAAAACAGACUUAGGCAAUUAUUUUAUGAGGUUGGCGAUGUUGAAAUAGGUUUCUCACCCUCUAUUUAGGGACGUUCACUAAUUUUCUUGUUCUCCUCCCCUUCUCCUCCUCCCCUUGCUUAUCGGUGGAUGGAGGAGGAUCACUAGGAUGAGGAUGCAGAGGCGUUUCGACCAUGAGGAAGCAGGAGACUAAAAGCAGAGACGUAGGAAGAGAAAGGCCAGCAAGACAGCAGAUGUAGGCGGUGUAGAUCGGGGGGAGACACUUUGCACAGCUCCAUCACACUAAGGCCAGCAAGACGGCCAGUGCAGUGAAGAGGAGGAAGAAGGCUGCAGUAGGCUGUGGAGAAGCAGUGUGAGUGUGUGGAGGAUACUUGACACAGCACCAUCACACACCUGGCAAAGGCUGGGAAAUGAGAAUAAAGAAGACAAGAAGAAAGAAAAAAUACAAGAAGUAAGAUGAAGAAGACAAGAAGAAAGAAGGAAAGAGGUGCCACAUAUACAGGUUAAAGGUUAAAUGGAGGAGGUCACUCAUUCUGUCUAUCCGAGAGGUCUGAUGUGUUACGUACGAGGGCUGCUAUUUAAAUGUAACAUGCUGGGUAACAUAUUUAAGUGUAACGUGCUGGGUAACAUAUUUUAAGUGUAACGUGCUGGGUAACAUUUAAAUGGUAACGUGCUGGAUAACAUAUUUAAGUGUAAUGUGCUGGGUAACAUAUUUAAGUGUAAUGUGCUGGGUAACAUAUUUAGUGUAACAUGCUGGGGAAUAUAUUUAUGUGUGACGUGCUGUGUUAUAUAUUUAAGUGUUACGUUCUGGGAGAAUAUUUAGGUGACGUGCUUGGUAAUAUAUUUAAGUGUGACGUGCUGGGUAAUAUAUUUAAGUGUAACGUGCUGGGUAAAAUAUUUAAGUGUGAUGCGCUGGGGAAUGUAUUUAAGUGUAACGUGCUUGGUAACAUUUAAGUGUGACGUUCUGUGGAAAAUAUUUGUGUUACGUGCGGGGAAAAGUAUUUAAGUGUUACAUGCUGGGUAAUAUAUUUAAAGGUAAUAUGGUGGCAUAAUUCAUUUAAGGGAAUAUGGUGGUGUAAUAUAUUUAAAGGUAAUAUGGUGGCGUAAUACAUUUAAGGUAAUAUGCUAACGUAAUAUACUUGAAGGUAAUAUGCUGGCGUAAUACAUUUAAGGUAAUAUGCUGGCAUAAUACAUUUAAGGUAAUAUGCUGGGGGGUAUAUUUUAAGGCAAUGUACUAACUUAUAGAGUAAUGGUGAUGCUACGGUCGUAACAACCCAUACUGCUUCUGCUGCAUCUGCUAUCACAACCCAUCCUGCUGCAUCCGCUAUCACAACCCAUCCUGCUGCAUCCGCUAUCACAACCCAUCCUGCUGCAUCCGCUAUCACAACCCAUCCUGCUGCAUCCGCUAUCACAACCCAUCCUGCUGCAUUCGCUAUCAUAACUCAUCCUGCGCCAUCCGCUAUCACAACCGAUCCUGCGCCAUCUGCUGUCACAAAUCGUACUCCGCUAUCACAACCCGUCCUGCUGCGUCCUUUAUCACAACUCGUUCUGCUCCGUUAUCACAACCCAUGCUGCUCCGCUAUUACAACACGUACAGCUACAUCCGCUAUUGCAACAACCCACACUGGUUUUGCAAUCACAACACGAAUUGCUGCUUCGGCUAUCAUUACCCUGAACUGAUGCUUCCAUUGUCAACAACUCGUACUGCUUUUGAAGGUGCAACAACCUGUUUUGCUUCCACUGCUGGUGGCAGUGGCUGAGUGGUUAUUGCUCCUGCUGUCACAUCAACAUGGUUGCAACAACCCGAAUAAUGAAUUUCCUGAUCAAAGAUCAGAGAGGAUUAGGCCUA